rnacentral:rRNA from 1 species
GACAGAGGGUGCAAACGUUGUUCGGAAUCACUGGGCGUAAAGCGUGUGUAGGCGGCCAUACAAGUCGGAUGUGAAAGCCCUGGGCUCAACCCAGGAAGUGCACCCGAAACUGUGUGGCUUGAGUACUGGAGAGGUUGGUGGAAUUCUCGGUGUAGAGGUGAAAUGCGUAGAUAUCAGGAGGAACACCGGUGGUGUAGACGGCUCUCUGGACCGUAACUGACGCUGAGACACGAAAGCGUGGGUAGCAAACAGG